rnacentral:tRNA from 1 species
CGGAGCGUGGCGCAGCCUGGUAGCGCACUACACUGGGGGUGUAGGGGUCGUCGGUUCAAAUCCGGCCGCUCCGACCA